AUUGAACGCUGGCGGCAGGCCUAACACAUGCAAGUCGAACGAGUGGCGGACGGGUGAGUAAUGUCUGGGCAACUGCCUGAUCGAGGGGGCUAACUACUGGAAACGUUAGCUACUACCGCAUACCACCGGUUGUGCCCACAGGGGAUUAGCUAGUAGGUGGGGUAACGGCUCACCGAGGCGACGAUCCCUAGCUGGUCUGCGAGGAUGACCAGACACACUGGACCUGAGACACGGUCCAGACUCCGACGGGAGGCAGCAGUGGGGAAUAUUGCACAAUGGGCGCAAGCCUGAUGCAGCCACGCCGAGUGUAUGAAGAAGGCCUUCGGGUCGUAAAGUACUUUCGGCGGGGAAGCGGUACCCGCAGAAGAAGCACCGGCUAACUCCGUGCCAGCAGCCGCGGUAAUAC
rnacentral:rRNA from 1 species